AUGGUGGAAAGAACUGCAGUGAACUGGGGCCUUCUGAGAAAACGGAAUCAUGCAACAUACAGGAAUGCCCAAUUGAUGGCAAAUACACUGAAUGGAAGGAGUCUGAGUGCAGUGCGACAUGUGGAGGAGGAGUAAUAACUAAAACAAGAACUUGCACCAAUCCUGCUCCACAGCACGGUGGAAAGGACUGCAGUGAACUGGGACCAGCUGAAAUAACACUUUCAUGCAAUGAAGAAUCAUGCGCAAUUGAUGGCAAAUACACCGAAUGGCAGGAGUCAGAAUGCACUGUGACAUGCGGAGGAGGAGUAAAAACAUUUGCAAGAACCUGUACCAAUCCUCCGCCGUCUAAUGGUGGAAAGGAAUGCAGUGAACUGGGACCUUCUGAGAAAACAGAAUCAUGCAACACA